GUGCGUGUGUGUGGGUGGGUGGGUUGUAGUAUGUUCCAAGGGUUGGGUUGUUUGUCCAUUAAAGCGGUACGUGAGUUAGGUUUAGAACGUCGUGAGACAGUUCGGUCCAUAUUAAGUGUGGGUGUUAGAGCAUUAAGAGAACCUUUCCCUAAUACAAGAGGAUCAGGAAGGACCCACCUUUGAUGUACCAGUUAUCAUGCCCACGUU
rnacentral:rRNA from 3 species